rnacentral:rRNA from 1 species
AGAGUUUGAUCAUGGCUCAGAUUGAACGCUGGCGGCAGGCCUAACACAUGCAAGUCGAACGGUAACAUUUCUAGCUUGCUAGAAGAUGACGAGUGGCGGACGGGUGAGUAAUGCUUGGGAACUUGCCUUUGCGAGGGGGAUAACAGUUGGAAACGACUGCUAAUACCGCAUAAUGUCUUCGGACCAAACGGGGCUUAGGCUCCGGCGCAAAGAGAGGCCCAAGUAAGAUUAGCUAGUUGGUAGGGUAACGGCUUACCAAGGCGACGAUCUCUAGCUGCUCUGAGAGGAAGAUCAGCCACACUGGGACUGAGACACGGCCCAGACUCCUACGGGAGGCAGCAGUGGGGAAUAUUGCACAAUGGGGGAAACCCUGAUGCAGCCAUGCCGCGUGUGUGAAGAAGGCCUUCGGGUUGUAAAGCACUUUCAGUUGUGAGGAAAAGUUAGUAGUUAAUACCUGCUAGCCGUGACGUUAACAACAGAAGAAGCACCGGCUAACUCCGUGCCAGCAGCCGCGGUAAUACGGAGGGUGCGAGCGUUAAUCGGAAUUACUGGGCGUAAAGCGCACGCAGGCGGUUUGUUAAGCUAGAUGUGAAAGCCCCGGGCUCAACCUGGGAUGGUCAUUUAGAACUGGCAGACUAGAGUCUUGGAGAGGGGAGUGGAAUUCCAGGUGUAGCGGUGAAAUGCGUAGAUAUCUGGAGGAACAUCAGUGGCGAAGGCGACUCCCUGGCCAAAGACUGACGCUCAUGUGCGAAAGUGUGGGUAGCGAACAGGAUUAGAUACCCUGGUAGUCCACACCGUAAACGCUGUCUACUAG